AUCUCUCCAUUAGGAUUUGGUUGAUGUCUUCUCCUAAUUAGAUGGUCGGUAUUUCUGGCAAGAAUGUCACGCGACACUGGGGACCUACAGUGCUACCAUUGUCCUCCUACCUGAAAGCCUCUGACAAAAUAUUGUCUUCCCAUUCCAUUGAAGGUUCAGAGGCCUCAGUGUCCAAGGGAGAAUGCCGCCAGGAAUGGACACUGCAUAGCUUUUUUUGAACCGGAAGUAAAGGCUGCCCCGCUGUCGCUUUGCCUCAGGACCAAGAGCUCUAAGAGGAAGACUGACCCUGACUGUCCACCGAGAAGCUGUUGCUGCCAUACAACGGAGACAAGGAGUCCAUCGUAUCCAGGGGAUCCCCUGAAAUAUCUCUGAGGAUUGCCAGGUUCAGUGACAGUGUUAAUGAAAGCCUCAAGUGACUCAAUACAAGCAGAAUAACCAAGGACUCAGACCCUUCAGGAAUGAAG
ensembl:lncRNA novel transcript